GGUUCUAUCGAGUUCGGGUCGGGGUUAAUAAAUCUUCAAAGAACCGGCACAACCCAAUAUACUUUCGGGUUCGGGUCCCAAUCGAUUUUUCGGUUUAAGAGUACCUGAUUUUUACCUAUUUUAUAACCAAAACAUGAGUAAAAUCGGUUCUUCAGUUUUAAAAUACCUGAUUUGUACCUAUUUUAUAACCAAAACUUAAGUAAAAUCGAUUCAAAAAUAAGGAACAUCAACCGUGAUCAUUUAAAAUCAAACGAAAAGUAAACAUAUUUACUGAUAAAAAGAAAACCAAAUAAAUAAAAGCAUAAAACGAAAUCCAAGUUCUUAUGAAAUGAGAAACAUUGUUUAACGAAAACAAAAUCUAAAUCUAAAUACUUCAAGAUUCAAUGGCCAUUUUCAACCAUCAA
rnacentral:lncRNA from 1 species